rnacentral:rRNA from 1 species
GAGUUUGAUCGUGGCUCAGAUUGAACGCUGGCGGCAGGCUUAACACAUGCAAGUCGAGCGGGGGAGAUUGCUUCGGUAAUUGACCUAGCGGCGGACGGGUGAGUAAUACUUAGGAAUCUGCCUAUUAAUGGGGGACAACAUCUCGAAAGGGAUGCUAAUACCGCAUACGCCCUACGGGGAAAGCAGGGGAUCACUUGUGACCUUGCGUUAAUAGAUGAGCCUAAGUCGGAUUAGCUAGUUGGUGGGGUAAAGGCCUACCAAGGCGACGAUCUGUAGCGGGUCUGAGAGGAUGAUCCGCCACACUGGGACUGAGACACGGCCCAGACUCCUACGGGAGGCAGCAGUGGGGAAUAUUGGACAAUGGGGGGAACCCUGAUCCAGCCAUGCCGCGUGUGUGAAGAAGGCCUUAUGGUUGUAAAGCACUUUAAGCGAGGAGGAGGCUCCUGUAGUUAAUACCUACAGAGAGUGGACGUUACUCGCAGAAUAAGCACCGGCUAACUCUGUGCCAGCAGCCGU